UUUAAGGUCUGACCUGCCCAAUGAAAAUUAUUUAAUGGCCGCAGUAUUUUGACUGUGCAAAGGUAGCAUAAUCAUUAGUUUUUUAAUUGAAAGCUGGAAUGAAUGGUUUGAUAAAAAAAAAACUGUCUCAUUUUUAUUGUUUUAAAAUUUUAUUUUUAAGUGAAAAAGCUUAAAUUUUUUAAAAAGACGAGAAGACCCUAUAGAGUUUGAUUUUUAAUUAUUUUUUUUAUAUAAUGAUUAAAUUAUUUUUAAAAUUUUUAGAAAUUUUAUUGGGGCGAUAAAAAAAUUUAUUAAACUUUUUUUUAUUUUUACAUAAAUUUAUGAAUAUUUGAUCCUUAAUUUGAGAUUAAAAGAAAAAAUUACCUUAGGGAUAACAGCGUAAUUUUUUUAAAGAGUUCAAAUCGAAAAAAAAGAUUGCGACCUCGAUGUUGGAUUAAAAUUUAAUUUUGGUGUAGAAGCUAAAAUUUUAGGUCUGUUCGACCUUUAAAAUUUUACA
rnacentral:rRNA from 1 species